rnacentral:rRNA from 1 species
UGGGGAAUUUUGGACAAUGGGCGAAAGCCUGAUCCAGCAAUGCCGCGUGUGUGAAGAAGGCCUUCGGGUUGUAAAGCACUUUUGUCCGGAAAGAAAUCCUUGGCUCUAAUACAGUCGGGGGAUGACGGUACCGGAAGAAUAAGCACCGGCUAACUACGUGCCAGCAGCCGCGGUAAUACGUAGGGUGCAAGCGUUAAUCGGAAUUACUGGGCGUAAAGCGUGCGCAGGCGGUUUGCUAAGACCGAUGUGAAAAUCCCCGGGCUCAACCUGGGAACUGCAUUGGUGACUGGCAGGCUAGAGUAUGGCAGAGGGGGGUAGAAUUCCACGUGUAGCAGUGAAAUGCGUAGAGAUGUGGAGGAAUACCGAUGGCGAAGGCAGCCCCCUGGGCCAAUACUGACGCUCAUGCACGAAAGCGUGGGGAGCAAAACAGGAUUAGAUACCCUGGUAGUCCACGCCCUAAAACGAUGUCAACUAGUUGUUGGGGAUUCAUUUCCUUAGUAACGUAGCUAAACGCGUGAAGUUGACCGCCUGGGGAGUACGGUCGCAAAGAUUAAAAACUUAAAUGAAUUGACGGGGUCAUAGCUGUUUCCU